rnacentral:rRNA from 1 species
UCGGAAUUACUGGGCGUAAAGCGUUCGUAGUCGGUCGCGUAAGUCAGAUGUGAAAGCCCCGGGCUCAACCUGGGAAUUGCAUUUGAGACUGCUCUGCUCGGGUGCGGAAGAGGGAAGCGGAAUUUCCGGUGUAGCGGUGAAAUGCGUAGAUAUCGGAAGGAACACCAGUGGCGAAAGCGGCUUCCUGGUCCGACACCGACGUUCAGGCACGAAAGCGUGGGGAGCAAACAGG